rnacentral:rRNA from 1 species
ACCAGACUCCUACGGGAGGCAGCAGUGGGGAAUAUUGCACAAUGGGGGAAACCCUGAUGCAGCGACGCCGCGUGAAGGAAGAAGUAUUUCGGUAUGUAAACUUCUAUCAGCAGGGAAGAAAAUGACGGUACCUGACUAAGAAGCCCCGGCUAACUACGUGCCAGCAGCCGCGGUAAUACGUAGGGGGCAAGCGUUAUCCGGAUUUACUGGGUGUAAAGGGAGCGUAGGCGGCGAUGCAAGUCAGAAGUGAAAGCCCGGGGCUCAACUCCGGGACUGCUUUUGAAACUGCCGGGCUGGAGUGCAGGAGAGGGAAGCGGAAUUCCCAGUGUAGCGGUGAAAUGCGUAGAUAUUAGGAGGAACACCAGUGGCGAAGGCGGCUUACUGGACUGUAACUGACGUUGAGGCUCGAAAGCGUGGGGAGCAGACAGGAUUAGAUACCCCGGUACAA